AUUCCCAGGAGAUUUUGACAGUAAGAAAAGGACCAGCUCGAUGCCUCCCCAAAGUGAGCAGCGAGGGAACCAAGAGCCAUGCCCUGAGAAGCAAGAGCUGGAGAACACUACAAAUGAAACUACAAACCCAAAGAACAACUUUGCUUGAACUUUG